AUUGAACGCUGGCGGCAUGCUUUACACAUGCAAGUCGAACGGUAACAGGGUGCUUGCACCGCUGACGAGUGGCGAACGGGUGAGUAAUGCACCGGAAUGUACCGUGUAAUGGGGGAUAGCUCGGCGAAAGCCGGAUUAAUACCGCAUACGCCCUGAGGGGGAAAGUGGGGGACCGUAAGGCCUCACGUUAUACGAGCAGCCGAUGUCUGAUUAGCUAGUUGGUGAGGUAAAGGCUCACCAAGGCGUCGAUCAGUAGCGGGUCUGAGAGGAUGAUCCGCCACACUGGGACUGAGACACGGCCCAGACUCCUACGGGAGGCAGCAGUGGGGAAUCUUGGACAAUGGGCGCAAGCCUGAUCCAGCCAUGCCGCGUGUCUGAAGAAGGCCUUCGGGUUGUAAAGGACUUUUGUCCGGGAGCAAAUCCCAGUGGUUAAUACCUACUGGGGCUGAGAGUACCGGAAGAAUAAGCACCGGCUAACUACGUGCCAGCCGCCGCCGUAAGAC
rnacentral:rRNA from 1 species